rnacentral:pre_miRNA from 1 species
UCUUCUGGAUGAGCAGAGAAAGUGGUUUCUGAGAUGGAAUCCACUCCCGGUGAAGAUUCUGUGAA